rnacentral:lncRNA from 1 species
ACUUCAUGAUAUGAGUAAAUCACAUUCUUAGCUAAUAGGUUUUGUCAUUGAUAUUACAAUAUUUAUUCAGAUCUCAUUCAUAUGCAAUACUCUGUGUGCCACAGUUCAUAUUAAAGAGCUUUUGCCCUUAAGGAGGGCAGAGAAAGAUAAAGAUCAUUACAUCUGUCACUUUUGUUUGAGCAGACCUCACUAAUACAUGUUUGGGAGCUCUGAGCUCAAUAACUCCUAAAGGGGUAAUUUGGUAUAACACAGUAAAUUGUAAUUCCGUCAGUUAUAGGUCAUUCACCACAAUCUAAAAAUUUCUUCUUCUGUAGGUUAAAUGUUAAUCUUUAAUAAAAUUACAUCUUUCUAAGCCAUGCUUUCUUCGGUUAACAAAUAAUUUCUAGGUAUUUAGUUUGAUCUUGGAAAAGAGAUGUAAUACUUCUGAUGAUAAUGGUACAAUUUUUAGCCUAUCAUAAUGCUUUGGUAGCUGGCAGAAUUUAUGUGUGAAAUAAUUCUAUGUUCUAUGCAGUUUCAGAAUAGCCUUAGAGGCAAUAUUUUUAUAUGGGCAAAACAAAUUAUAUAUCCCAAAUUAGAAUGUUUAAUUUAUAUGCUUUGAGUUUUGAGAUUUAUAUGAUGGAUGUAUUCAGUUUAACCAUUUUACUCUUCACUCCAAAUGUAGUUCUUUAUUGUACCGAAUAAAACCUCUUUCUUGUCUCUUUUACCAUUAGCAAGUGCAUAUUUAGCC